rnacentral:rRNA from 1 species
GACGAACGCGGCGGCGUGCCUAAUACAUGCAAGUCGAACGAGAGCGACCGGUGCUUGCACUGGUCAAUCUAGUGGCGAACGGGUGAGUAACACGUGGGUAACCUGCCCAUCAGAGGGGGAUAGCAUUCGGAAACGGAUGCUAAAACCGCAUAGGUCUUCGAACCGCAUGGUUUGAAGAGGAAAAGAGGCGCAAGCUUCUGCUGAUGGAUGGACCCGCGGUGCAUUAGCUAGUUGGUGAGGUAACGGCUCACCAAGGCCGUGAUGCAUAGCCGACCUGAGAGGGUGAUCGGCCACAUUGGGACUGAGACGCGGCCCAAACUCCUACGGGAGGCAGCAGUAGGGAAUCUUCCGCAAUGGACGCAAGUCUGACGGAGCAACGCCGCGUGAGUGAAGAAGGUUUUCGGAUCGUAAAACUCUG